rnacentral:rRNA from 1 species
GGUGAACGCUGACAGAAUGCUUAACACAUGCAAGUCUUUGGCGAAUCUGUGCUUGCACAGGCUAGCCAAGGCGGACGGGUGAGUAACGCGUAAAGAACUUGCCCUGCAGACAGGGAUAACAGACGGAAACGACUGAUAACACCUGAUACAGUUGCCGGCACGCAUGUGCCUGGCAAUGAAAAGAGAUGCUGCAGGAGAGCUUUGCGUCCUAUUAGCUUGUUGGUGAGGUGACGGCUCACCAAGGCGAUGAUAGGUAGCCGGCCUGAGAGGGUGAACGGCCACAAGGGGACUGAGAUACGGCCCUUACUCCUACGGGAGGCAGCAGUGGGGAAUAUUGGACAAUGGGGGCAACCCUGAUCCAGCAAUUCUGUGUGCACGAAGAAGGUUUUCGGAUUGUAAAGUGCUUUCAGCAGGGAAGAAGAAAGUGACGGUACCUGCAGAAGAAGCGACGGCUAAAUACGUG